GAUGAACGCUGGCGGCGUGCUUAACACAUGCAAGUCGAACGAAGCAUUUAGAACGGAUUACUUCGGUUUGAAGUUCUUUAUGACUGAGUGGCGGACGGGUGAGUAACGCGUGGGUAACCUGCCUUGUACUGGGGGAUAGCAGCUGGAAACGGAUGGUAAUACCGCAUAAGCGCACAAUGUUGCAUGACAUUGUGUGAAAAACUCCGGUGGUAUAAGAUGGACCCGCGUCUGAUUAGCUAGUUGGUGAGAUAACAGCCCACCAAGGCGACGAUCAGUAGCCGACCUGAGAGGGUGACCGGCCACAUUGGGACUGAGACACGGCCCAGACUCCUACGGGAGGCAGCAGUGGGGAAUAUUGCACAAUGGAGGAAACUCUGAUGCAGCGACGCCGCGUGAGUGAAGAAGUAAUUCGUUAUGUAAAGCUCUAUCAGCAGGGAAGAUAGUGACGGUACCUGACUAAGAAGCUCCGGCUAAAUACGUGCCAGCAGCCGCCGUAA
rnacentral:rRNA from 1 species